rnacentral:lncRNA from 1 species
AUAGGAAAGCGGUCAUGCCCCUGCCUCAGAAGGCCUCCCUCUCUUGUCCUCUUUCUUUUAAGCAGAACAGUUGGUUGCUUCAGAAUUAAAAAUGGCCGGAGACAAAAGUACCAAGAGCGAUCCCCGGAGAGCUCCCGUCGUCGUGCACACUCAGCAUUCCUCAGCUGUGCUCUUGACUGACGUUUACCGCUGCAGAAGGGAACUGAAAAUUAGGCAAACUGGUGCCAAACCUCACGUCUAUGCUUGGUGGGGCCGAGUUUCAACGGAUCACACCUAGGGAAGACACCUUCAGCUACAGAGACCAGCGCCAUCCCUGGGCGUGGCCCAGGUGAUUCACACAAGACCACUUCUGACUCACCUGUGUGUUAC